GAGCUGGGUUCAGAACGUCGUGAGACAGUUCGGUCCAUAUCCGGUGUAGGCGUUAGAGCAUUGAGAGGAGCUCUCCCUAGUACGAGAGGAUCGGGAGGGACACACCUAUGGUGUAUCAGUUAUUGUGCCAACAGUAUAUGCUGGGUAGCCAAGUGUGGGGAGGAUAACCGCUGAAAGCAUCUAAGUGGGAAGCCCACCUCAAGAUGAGUGCUCUCAUCGUAAUUUUACGAGUAAGAUCACGGCAAGACAAGCCGUUAAUAGGUAUCAAGUGUAAACGUAGUAAUGCGUGUAGCUGAGAUAUACUAAUAGAUCGAGGACUUGAU
rnacentral:rRNA from 1 species